UCCACGGCCAGGGAAGAAAGAGGAGCAGUCUGACCAGAGGAGGAGGUGGGGAGGCUCAGAAAAGAGGAGUCACUCCCACGAGGAGUGCCAGAGAGAAAACAGGCUCACUGAAGUAGAACGCUCAGCUCAAAACUACUCUGUGUCAAAGCCAAGAAGAAGAAGAGCAACAAAGCAGAGGAGAGAGAGCUGAAGGGAGCCUGGAUGAGGACACAAGAGCGGUAAACGGGAUUUAUUGUGUCUCCUGUCAUCUCCCUGACAAACAUCACAACGUGAGGAUUUAUCCCUCCUAAUGCUAAUCCUAAAGUGACUGCUAAUCUAAGGUAGCAUCUGCGGACGUCUCCCCUGGCGGGCACACUGCUGGUUUUCACAAUAAACCGCAUGCUCAAAAAAAGUCAACACUUCUCCUCUGAGGAAGACGUUACUGCCUCCUCAUCAUCAUCAUCACCGUCAUCAUAAUCAUCAUCAACUGGUUUGCUUACUUCUGGUCUGUCACUGAUUUGCCCCUCAGUGAGGGCUGGGCUCAGCGAGUGAAAACAACAAACUCUCACAGGAUGGAUGCCAGAGAAGAGACGCUGACCAUCCUGAACAGGAUCUGGGCGAAGCUGAACGGUCUACCCAAUGCAAACCCUAUUGAGCUGGGAGCUUUCUUUGUUGUCUUAACCUUUAUCCUGGUGGUUCUGCUCAUGGUGGUGCUGACCUGCGUGACCUGUGGCUGUUGCUGCUGCUGCUGUAGGAACAAAAAGACGAAAGGAUCAAGCAUCUGAUCAGAGCAUCUUUUCUGACGCUCUAUUGAGAAAUCCUGCGCUCCUACCGAGUGUCAUGGUGUUGUUAUUAUGAGAUGAACUUGUGUGACACUUCACUGAGAGAUCAUGUCUCAUUUAAGGUGUGUUCAGUGGCAUUAUGGGAGCCCAGCCCUCUGACAACAGACAGAGAAGGAUGUGCUGACAGGCUGCUACAUCUGUCAGGGUUUUCAGGAGGAGCUACAUUCCUCAGAAGAAUCCCUGCAGGUGUUUAAAAGGAUCACAACAGUGCCUUUGUCCUGAGAAAUAAAGAGGCCAACCCGAUUAAAGAGCUACAACAACUAGUAGACCUUUAAAAGCUGCUGGUUAGACAUAAAGAAAGUCAAAUUUGUAAUACUUUGAUAGUGUUUUACCAGGUGUGUUUAAACAAUACACUGUACAUUAUUUCAACCAUUGAUAUACAUUUGUAUGUUAAACUAAAAGCCAUGAGUGAAAGAGACAGCAUGUUCUUAGUGGCACAAAUAUAUUAAGACAGGGUGUAAAAGUUGCACGUUUUUGUGAA